rnacentral:rRNA from 1 species
ACUCCUACGGGAGGCAGCAGUGGGGAAUAUUGCACAAUGGGGGAAACCCUGAUGCAGCCAUGCCGCGUGUGUGAAGAAGGCCUUCGGGUUGUAAAGCACUUUCAGUAGGGAGGAAGGUAGUGUAGUUAACACCUGCAUUAUUUGACGUUACCUACAGAAGAAGCACCGGCUAACUCCGUGCCAGCAGCCGCGGUAAUACGGAGGGUGCGAGCGUUAAUCGGAAUUACUGGGCGUAAAGCGCAUGCAGGCGGCUUGUUAAGUCAGAUGUGAAAGCCCGGGGCUUAACCUCGGAAUUGCAUUUGAAACUGGCAGGCUAGAGUCUUGUAGAGGGGUUAGAAUUUCAGGUGUAGCGGUGAAAUGCGUAGAGAUCUGAAGGAAUACCAGUGGCGAAGGCGGCCCCCUGGACAAAGACUGACGCUCAGAUGCGAAAGCGUGGGAGCAAACAGGAUUAGAUACCCCUGGUAGACUGUCA